rnacentral:lncRNA from 1 species
ACGGGGGCGGGACCGGGCGGCCUGAGACCUGUUGAUCGCAGGUAUCACCCGCCUGACCGGCUCUCUUGGGACUGAGACGACUGCGCAUGCUCGCUGGCGGCUCUGGGCCAGUAGCCAAGCGGCGGUGACGAACCGGCUCCUCGGUUGCGGUUGUUGCGGUUGCAGCGAUGGCGAUGUGAGUGGGCCCCGGGCGGAAUGGUGCUGACCCGGGUAGGGACGUCUUCUUCCAGCUGGACACCUAGCUCUUCCAUCCAACAGAAGAGAGAAGAGGUGGAGACGGUUGAGAGGUAAGCCCCUCUCCGCUCCGGGUCCUGUCGCUCCCGACACUCACGACCCCUCCCUCGGUCCCUCUUUCCCAGGGGCCAGGCAGGAAGCGGCCUCCUUCUCUUCGUCCCCCCCUCGCCCGCUCCGGCCUCUCUACGGGCUGCUCGCUGUCGGACGCAGCCCCGGGCCGGGUGAAGGUCGGUGGGGACGGCGGUUCUGGGCACUCUCCGGCAAGCCAAGGGGCCGCAGCGCUUAGCUCUGCGGGCACUCCCUGUCGCCCUGCCCCUGCCUUACGUUCCUCUGCCGGUUCUUCCUGAACCUCACGCCUCCUGUGCCCCAGCCUUCUCCUGCCCUUCGCCCCCGGCUCCAUCUUCACCUGUCUAUCUCGCCUUUAUCCCCCAUUCAUGGUUCUUCUCUUUCAUCCCGUGCCCACUUGCCUUUUCGCUCCGGUGGUGUUUG